rnacentral:misc_RNA from 1 species
UUUCCGUAGGUGAACCUGCGGAAGGAUCAUUACAAUUUUGGCACACCAAGAUGCCCUCGGGCGUUGCGGUGUUGUCAAUCGAGAUACCAACCCAUGUCUUUUGAGCACCUCACGUUUCCUCGGCAGGCUCGCCUGCCAACGGGGACCUAUACAACCCUUUGCAGUAGUAUAACAAACGUCUGAUACACUUUAAUUAUCACAACUUUCAACAAUGGAUCUCUUGGUUCUGGCAUCGAUGAAGAACGCAGC